GAAUGUUAAAAAUAAGACUUCAUAAAAAAACUGUUCUGAAGAGUAAAGAUGUCUCAGAAAAGAUGGUAUUAACUCCAAAGAUAAUGUGUGUUUCUUAUACCAAAAAGUAAUCUCUAUACCCAAUGUGGGGCUCAAACACACAACCCCUAUAUUAAGAUUACAUGUCAGAUGGAGCCAGCAAGGCACCUUUGUUUUGGGAAUUAAAACCGCUAUUGAACAACAGAGGUCCGUACUCCUUCACAGAAGAUUGGUUUUUGGUAUGAAGCAGCAAAUCUUGCUUUUUUCCUCUGGUGAACACAAA